rnacentral:rRNA from 1 species
AGUUUAAAGUAAUUAUUUUAAAUGAAUCCUGCCCAGUGAAAAUUUUUAAAUGGCCGCAGUACCCUGACUGUGCAAAGGUAGCAUAAUCAAUUGGCUUUUAAUUGAAGUCUGGAAUGAAUGGAAAUUUGAAAAAAUACUGUCUUAAAAAUAUUUUAUUGAAUUUAAUUAUUAGGUGAAAAUACCUAUUUAUUUUAAGAAAAAAGACGAGAAGACCCUUAGAAUUUUAAUAAUAUUAAAAUUAUUAAUUUAUUUUUGUUGGGGCGACAAUUAAACAAUUAAACCUUAAUUUUAAAUAAAACGAAAUUGUUAUAAAAGAAUAAAUUACCUUAGGGAUAACAGCAUAAUUUAAUUUUAAGUUUGUGACCUCGAUGUUGGACUAGGAACUUUAUGACUAGCAGUCAGAAUAGAUUUGUUCUGUUCGAACAAUAAAAUCCU